CUUGGCCAAGCUGGUCUUGAACUCCUGACAUUGUGAUCCACCCGCCUUGGCCUCCCAAAGUGCUGAGAUUACAGGUGUGAGCCACUGCGCCCAGCCACACUUUGGCAUUGUAUCUCAGCUCCUGCCGUUUGUUUCUUUCCUCUGCAUCAAAGGCCUCAUCAGAUUCAUUUUUUCUGACUUCGAUUGUGACUCAAUACCCUUUCGAGGCUGUCUCUGGUAUCUGGACUUUCACCACAAGACUCUAAGCCUGGGUCUGGCUUACAGAGGCUGCAAUGAUUGAUAUAAUAACACCAUCCAAAUGGAGCGACUCUGACUUUUUUCCCCAUGGCAAAUAAAUCAUUCUUAUUUUGGUUAAUAUUCAAACUGGUUCUCCUUCUCAGUCUCUGUUGGUGAAAGGACAUUCCUCCAGGGCAACCCAGAGAAGGAAACGUCACCACUUGCUUCUAUUGAGAGAGAAGCCAAAGCUCUGGAAACCCAUGUCACAGGCUUCCACUGGAUUACUGUCGGCUCAGUCUUCCAUUGAAGAACUGAGGUUACCAAAAUUGUAUUUGCUGAAGAAACACCAGCUGGGAAGGCUAUGCUAGGUGUUGGUUUGCGGAGAGGGAAAACCAGUCUAGAAUUAUCCAAGUUGUGGCUGAAAAUGCAUUAAGUCUUAUAGUCAUUUUGCUGAGGCAAACCAGGAAACACACAAUCACAGACUUAUGUAAAACGCAUUUAUCUGACAAGUAGACAAUUUCUAUUAUUAUGACUUAUAUUGAACAUGAGGCAGUUUUAAAAACUAAUGUUAGACGUUAACCACACCUAGCAAGUUGAUGAUGCUGUCUCUUCUCUUCUUCCUCCUCCUCCUUUUCUUCUCUCUCUCUCUCCCUCCACCCUUGGCCCACACACGUACACACACACACACACACACACUUUUAUAUUUUGUUGUGAUUGAGUUUGAAUUAUAGGCAAUAGUAGGCUACUAAACUAUAUCCAUGAAUUUAAAACGCCUUGACUCACUGUAUUUGUUGAUUUCUCUGUGUUGAAAACUUCCACCAUGGCUUAUUUCAAGCUGUCAUGUGGCGUUACUGACUGGAGUCGGGAAAAGAUGAGGACAAUUGGCUCUUAUUAGCAUCAGCACUGGCUCUCACACACCACUGGUUAUGAGAUAUGUACUAGUCUCUUUCUUUCCUAACAUUCGACUACUAAAGUGUCUCUUUCCACCAUCUUCCUGGCCAAUUAGUCAAAUUGACUAAUCAACUACUUACAAGUAAAGAAUCUUAAAUGAAGUCUCUCUAGAACAUGAUGCUUAAAAAUCUGGACCACAAUGAUCAGGAAAUAAUGACUUUUUUCAUAAUUAACACUAUAGCUUUAUGGAAAUACUAUAGGAUUGAAUUAGGCAUGCAUAAAUUAGAAUCCUGGCUCUGUUAUUAUCUAGUCGUAUGGCUUUAGAUAAAUGACUUAACUUCUCUGAACUUUAAGUUUCUUAUUUGCAAAAAUGAAAAACCAUGCUUGUGUUGCAGGUUUAUUUUGUGGAUUAAAUAAUAUAAUAAAUGUAAAAUAAAUU
rnacentral:lncRNA from 1 species